UCUCUGUCUAACUCUGCCUCUCUCUCUCUCUCUCUCUCUCUCUCUCUCUUCCAUUCUCUACAGUACACAGGCUGUCCUGUUGGCUGUGGUUCAGUCUCGGUCGACAUUCUUUCCAUUCCUCAUUAGUCUAUGACCCAGCUCAGGAGUUCGUCCCAAAGAAGUCCUGGUAACUCAGACUGAAAGUAGUGUUCGGGGCAUUACAUCAUCCACUGCCCCGACCAGCCAUGCACAGUAUGUGUUUCAGGAAAGGAAAAUAAGACACACAUGCUGACACACAUUCGGUCCGAUGUUUAAAAUUUCCAAUCUCUGUAAAUCAAUCAUUUUUUUUUAUUUGUCAUCAGUGAGAGUAGUUUCUGGCAGCUACGGGCCUUGUAAUAAUCAAUAUAGUUCUCAGUUUAGUCUUAAACCACUGCCAGGGGCCAAAACACAGCUCAAGCUGCUCUGCACUGGUAAAAAGUGAUUGUUUUUAUUAUUACUUCUAGUUAUGGUGGCACACUUAUCUUAAAAUAACUAUGAUAGUGCAUUAGCAGCGGUAUUUCAAAACAUUUCCUAUCUAUCGGCAGAGACUUCCAGCUAAGAUGAUUUUACCAGUUUGACCGGUUCAGCCUGUGUUUUUUCAGACCUUGUAAAAUUUUUGGGAAGUUUUGUCAAUUAUCAUUUCACUCUGACAUUCCAAAAGAAACAAGCUUUAAUGAAUGAGGAAGUUUGUCAUCAACCUCAAUUAUGUAGAUAAUGUAACCACUGGCUACACAUGCUGUUGCAACCAAACCUCAACAGGAUACAUGAAUGUGAUUGCGCCACCCGGCGGUUCACUGCCUGUAUAAACCACAACACUAAACCUCCCCCAUGCUGAGGAAUGUGCAGGGCAUGGCCUACGGGUUUAUUUGGCAUGUUGGUUGCUUAGACACUCAACACAUCCGGAAUCCUACGUAUUUCCUAAUCCUCCCUAAAUACCUGGUCUACCUGACUCGCAGGUGAGCCGAGCUUGAGCAAGUUCAUUCAUGUUUCUUCCUCACAGCGCGAUAGUGUCAGCUACGGAACAAAACCUUUUAUGGCUUGCACGCCGAAGCACGUCUCAUUCCAGGGCCCACGCACAGGUUGACACCUUAUACAGUACCUGUGCGCUCGACGCUAUCUGAUCAAUAACACCAAAGAACACAGUGAGAGUUUCCAUCUGCCUCGACCCUGCGUCGCAAUCAGACACGCCAGGAAACUGAAUGCAGUCAUUCGAGGGUGCGGCUGCUGCAUGCGGGUGGGCACAAGGCUGACUCUGAGAUCUGUUUGGCAAAAUAAAAUGGAAACAUUUCCACAACACUACUGGACCACCCCGUGAUCAUGCCUGCUUUGCUACAUGAUGUCAUUUGGUCUGAUCUGAUGGUUCACCAACAGCAGUUUUAAUAACGUGUUACUGGCAGUUUGACUGUCAUCUCACAGUGCAGUUUAAUUCUCAAAUGUGAUAUAAGUUAUAAGUAUUUCAAUCAUUUUCAUUAGGUCUGACAUUCACAGAUUUAUAUCAGCGUGCUCGUAUAUUAACAUCUCGCUAUAUCAGUUCUAUAGAAACAGCUGUUUUGCAGGGACUUACUGUAUAUGUAAGAUGCUCCAAAUACGAAAAACCUACAGUAUUGAUACGUUUAUAAUAUAAUAUAAUAUAAUAUAAUAUAAUAUAAUAUUAAUAUAUAAUAUAAUAUAAAUGAUAUUUCAAUUGGGAAAAUUUUCUUUAAGAUGUUUAUUUAACAUUUAUCGAAAGAGACAGAAAGGGAAGAAGAGAAGCUGAUCGAUACUGUAUGUCGAUAAACAGCAAUAAUCUAUAAAUGGUUAAAAGUAUGACAUAUCAUCCAUUAACAAAUUUACAUUUCUUGGCCAAUGACUGUCAGUCAAAAGGAAACAUUUCACAUUUCAUUUAACCAGCGGCUUAGGAGAACGUACUUAGUUGUACAGAGUGAAUGUUAAACUUGGGUCACUCCCCUGCCAGUGUGCCUCAUGAGUUAUCAGUGUUUCAACACAAGCUCUUGGAGCUCUUGCUACAAACUAAUCAUGAGACUAAUGAGUCUAUUAUCAUUUUUAAGUUCUGUGACCACUUUACAGAAUUAAAUAAACUGUUACUGACAUUUAUUGACACUUACAAAAAUAAAAAUAUUACCAAAA